GAUGAACGCUGGCGGCGUGCCUAAUACAUGCAAGUCGAGCGAACAGAUGAGGAGCUUGCUCCUCUGACGUUAGCGGCGGACGGGUGAGUAACACGUGGAUAACCUACCUAUAAGACUGGGAUAACUUCGGGAAACCGGAGCUAAUACCGGAUAAUAUAUUGAACCACAUGGUUCAAUAGUGAAAGACGGUUUUGCUGUCACUUAUAGAUGUAUCCGCGCCGCAUUAGCUAGUUGGUAAGGUAACGGCUUACCAAGGCAACGAUGCGUAGCCGACCUGAGAGGGUGAUCGGCCACACUGGAACUGAGACACGGUCCAGACUCCUACGGGAGGCAGCAGUAGGGAAUCUUCCGCAAUGGGCGAAAGCCUGACGGAGCAACGCCGCGUGAGUGAUGAAGGUCUUCGGAUCGUAAAACUCUGUUAUUAGGGAAGAACAAAUGUGUAAGUAACUAUGCACGUCUUGACGGUACCUAAUCAGAAAGCCACGGCUAACUACGUG
rnacentral:rRNA from 1 species